AUUGAACGCUAGCGGGAUGCUUUACACAUGCAAGUCGAACGGAGUGGCGGACGGGUGAGUAAUAUAUAGGAAAGUGCCCAGUAGCGGGGGAUAACUACUCGAAAGAGUGGCUAAUAACGCAUACUAUUGGAGCGGCCGAUAUCGGCUUAGCUAGUUGGUGGGGUAAAGGCUCACAAGGGCAACGAUCCUUAGCUGGUCUGAGAGGACGACCAGCCACACUGUGACUGCGACACGGUCCAUACUCCUACGGGAGGCAGCAGUGGGGAAUUUGGCACAAUGGGGGAAACCCUGAUCCAGCCAUCCCGCGUGUAUGAUGAAGGCCUUCGGGUUGUAAAGUACUUUUAGCAGAGAGGCGUGACCGGCAGAAUAAGCACCGGCUAACUACGUGCCAGCCGCCGCGGUAAUAC
rnacentral:rRNA from 1 species